rnacentral:tRNA from 1 species
GGGUAUAGCUCAAGUGGUAGAGUGCAUGUUGAGCAUGCAUGAGGUUCUGGGUUCAAUUCCCAGUAUCUCCU